AGCACAAAUAACAGCAGUUGAAUCACUUUCGAACUAAUAAGUAGUCAAAAUUAAUAAAGAAAAUAGGAAAUAUUCUGUAUCAUCUCAACUUACAAAAAAAUGUCCUCCACAAUUCAAAUCACAGCUUCAAGCUUAUGGACCAAAUAUAAUUAUAUACAAGGAUUGGAAACCGAACCAAUAAGAGCCCACACAAUCAGGUGAACGAAGCACAGAAACAAGUCGGAAAUUAAUUACCGAAGGGUAUCUGGAAUAUCUGGAAAAUAUCUGAAUAUUUUUUUCUUUCUGGACGUUGAUGCACUACGGUCAGUACAUACAAAUGGCCCGUAUGAAGCCAGGAACGUGCCUAUUGGGUUAAGUGUCAGUAGGCGCGAAUGGAAAAAUAGAAAACAGGACAAGGAAAUUAACUGGCGUGCUGCCAAAUUGCUUGCCUGCAUGUCUACUAAGUGGGCUAGAAUUUAAGUUUUUAGUUUUGGAAGGAUAUCUACGUUGGAGAUUAAUGUGUAGAAAUCAUUAUAAUUUACAUACAACACUCUAAAAAGUUCAUGCAAUUCAAAUUCACUAAAGAAUUAUAGGAUCUGGUAUUUCUACUUGGUACAUAGAAAUUGACCGGACUCAAUAAGUCAGAACUUUCCACGUCACCAUGAAUGAGGUUAAAGAAGAAGCUAAUGCCAACCAUAGAUCUACGGUUAGCUAAGGAUGCGGACGCCCAAAUCUUCAACU